rnacentral:rRNA from 1 species
UACGUAGGUGGCGAAGCGUUGUCCGGAAUUAUUGGGCGUAAAGCGCGCGCAGGCGGUCCUUUAAGUCUGAUGUGAAAGCCCACGGCUCAACCGUGGAGGGUCAUUGGAAACUGGGGGACUUGAGUGCAGGAGAGAAGAGUGGAAUUCCACGUGUAGCGGUGAAAUGCGUAGAGAAUGUGGAGGAACACCAGUGGCGAAGGCGGCUACCUGGACCGGUUCUGACGCUGACUGCGCGAAAGCGUGGGUAGCAAACGAGGA